CUCUGACCUUGCACCUGUCAAUUAUCUAUGUUUCUGUUUGUGUUUCUUACUUGCCGUCCCAGGACUCAUUCAGAUUUUGAACUCAUUUUCUAAAUCAUUGAUAUAAAUUUAAACAGAAAUAAAGUGUAUAAUAUGGAAAAACAUUGACACCAAUUAUGGAUGAUGUUUAAUGUUUUAUUCAGUGAUUCAGUAUUUUUCCAGAUAAAUAAUUGUCCCCCAUUUAUGAUAAAACAAACAAACAAACAAACAAACAAACAAACAGCAUAAUCAUCUAGACAUACAUUUUCAAUUAAUGUAAAAACAUGUAACCACAGCAUUUGUGACAGAUGGAACUGCUGUACGUGAACAUGAAUAUACGUAACCUCAAUUUCAUGUAAAUGUUACACAUUGCGGAAAUAUAUAUUUUUAAUGUAAUUACAGUUAUUCGUAAAGCUAUUUUAUCUCACAUUUACAGUAAAUUAGAAGCAGACAUCACCAAUUAAAUCUUAUAUUUUUAUUCUCUCUCAAUUUUUCAUUUAAAGACAAAUGUCAGGGACACGGUGUAACAAUGUUGAUUAUUUUAUACUGAAUUCUGUAAGGACAUCUGAGUAAGAACCAGAUAAUUUUGCCUAAUUAUUGGUAUGUUUGAAAAAAAUAAAAAUCUCGCUGUCUCACAUUGUUUUAGAAAAAACAUUUUCUCCGAAACACCCAUUUUGGCCUUCAGACAACCACCAAACCUCCAACAAAAACAAACCAACAGGAAGCUACCCACUGAUGGUAAGAAUAAAGAAAACGGGACCAGUCAAUGCAAAAAACCUCGCUGCAAACUGUAUCAGCACAUAUGCACCGCAACACAGCCAUACACAACAAUAAAACCUGCAGCAUUAAAGGUUCAUACUUCUGCACAUCCAGCAAUGUGGUAUACAUGAUUCAAGGCACCAAACGCCACCUAGGAUGCUACAUUGGGGAAACCACCCAGCAAUUAAAUGGCAGAAUGAACAUGCACAGACACUCUAUUAAACACCACAACGAAGAAUCCUACUGCACCCCUGUGGGACACCACUUUACCCAGCCUGGCCACUCAAUGAAGGACCUAAAAAUCAAAGUUCUGAAAGGGAGUUUUAAAAAUACCCAGGAAAGAAACACUUUUGAAGCCAGAAUGAUCAAAUUAUUUAACAGCAAGAAUAGAGGACUAAAUAUUUAUUUGGGUUUCCUGUCCCACUACCAACACUUUACAUGAACACUCCUCCAACAUUAUCUUAUUGUUCUGUCAUAUGUAUCAACACUGUAAAACGCAUUCCAAUAUGUUUAUUCUAUCAAUAUACAAAGUACUGUGUGUAGACCUAUGCUUUCCCAUACUCUUAUGCAUGUAUGCUUACAUAUAUUCCCUAAUACACAAGUAUGUCCCGUCAAGGCCCUUACGCUCUGCCAAAGACCUAUGUCUAUCCUCUGUCCGUACUCCCACCUCUGAUGCUCUCCUCCAAGACUUUUCCAGGGCUGCACCUCUUCUGUGGAACUCCCUUCCCUUCUCCGUAAGAAUUUCACCCAGUCUCCACUCAUUCAAAAAAUCAUUGAAAACUCACUUCUUCAAGAAAGCAUAUCAAUUAAACUGUAAGCAGGUUUUCAUCCCCCACCAUCCAUGACUCCUCUCCUGCACCUGUCAACAAUUACCUAUUAAGCCCUCAGCAAAUACUUUUCUAGCAUCUUACUUCGUACCCCUACUUUUACCCUUUGUGUCACUAUACCCCACUCCCUCUAGAAUGUAAGCUCAUUGAGCAGGACCCUCCACCUCUCUGUUCCUGUACGUCGAGUUGUCUGGUUACAAUUACAUGUCUGUUAGUCCACCCAUUGUACAGCACUGCAGAGUCUGAUGGCGCUAUAUAAAUAAUAAAAUAAUAAUAAUAAUAAUAUAUGACUGUGCAUUUAUAUUUGUGUAUAUGAGUUCAUGUGUAUGUAUGUAUGUAUAUGUGUUCAUAUGUUUUUGCAUUUGCAUAUACAUAUUUAUGUGUGUGUAUGUAUAAAGUGUACCAUCCUCUGCACUGUCUGCUUGUUUUUUUUUCUCCCUCUCCCCCCUCACUCUGCUCUUCAGAAAGAUAUGUAUGACCCUCUGCAAGAAUGGUGUCUAUUUUCUAACAAACCUGUGUCUUAUCUGCACUCCUGUCGCUUUAACCCCUGUAUCACAACUCAAUUUUGAAUUCUUUGUGUCUUCUUGCUCAGAAAUGCUUCAGACUUGAGAAAGGGAGGUUCUCCCAAAAGCUUGUCAUUAAAAUCUUUUACGAUUUUUAUAGCGCUUUUCUCCCUGUGAGACUCAAAGCACUUUACAAGUAUACAAACAUAAAGACAUAAAAGUUAGGAGUUUCUGAUGGUCAGAGGAGUGGACUGAAUGCCUGAUGAAAGAGGUGGGUCUUUAGCUCUUUUAAAAAAGUCUGUAAGGACGGUGCUUCUCUGAUAGCGCAUGGUAAAGAGUUCCAGAAGGUUGGGGCAGCGUGGCUGAAUGCCCUGGAACCGGAGUCUGUCUUUAUUCUUGGCACUGGCAGGAAGGAUUUGUUGGCUGACCGAAGUGAACGGAAUGGAAUGUAGGGUGUCUAGAGCUCUUUCAGGUACUGUGGGCCUUGAUUGUUUAAGGCUCUGAAGGUUAGCUGGCCAAUUUUGAAAUAUGUUCACCAUUUAAUUGGCAGCCAAUGUAAGGAGUGGAGAACAGGUGUUAUGUGGCAGGAGCGAGUUCGAUUGGUCAGUAACCUGGCUGCUGCAUUUUUUACAGUCUGAAGGCGAUGGAGUUCUUUUUCUGGAAGGCCCAAGUAACGUACAUUGCAGUAAUCUAGCUUAGAGGAUACAAAUGCAUGGAUUAAUGGGCCUCCAGUUGAGUUGCCACUACUUUUUCAAUUAAUUUCUCCAGAAAUGGAAGGUUGGAUACUGGUCUGUAAUUAGCCAUGCAGUCUGGGUCUAAUAAAGGUUUCUUUAGAAGUAGUUUUACCACAGCUCAUUUUAGAGGAUCUGGGAAGUCUCCUGUUUUUAGUGAACACUGCACUAUUUUUGUGAGGGCUGGGGUAAGUGUUUCAAUGCAUGCAGAUAUAUCCCGAGUUGGAGCAGGGUCUAAGUCACACAUAGUGGACCAUAAACUGGGGAAAUCUGGCAUUCCAUUGUAGUGGUUCUGGUGUGCAACUGUUUGGCCUGCUGUGAUAAAGGCACGGAUUGAGAAAAUCUUGUCUCUGAAGAAGAUUGCAAAUGCUUCACAGACCAUCCUGAGAAAGGUUGGUGGGGAUAUGCAUGCAUGAUGGUUUGCAGAGCCUUUCUACUGUGCAAAACAGUUGCCUGAGUCUAUUAUGGGAGAGUGCAAUUUCACGUGAUAAAAAUGAAUAUUUUUUUCUGAGUUAUCUUGAAUUGAUAUUAAUUUAGAUGUUUGGUAAGAGCGGUUUUAUCCUCUGGAUCAUGUGUUCUGUGCCUCUUUCUCUCGAGUUUACGGCCUGUUCUCUUAAUUUCUCUGAUGGUGCUAUUAAACCACGGUGCAUUGUUGUGGGUUUUGACAGUGUGUAUGCAUGUUGGUGCAAUGGGUGCCUCUCGUGGUUUUGUUGUAGUCAGACUAAGGAGCUGGGGUCUUCACAGGUGCCCAUUAGUUCACUUAGAUCCAUAUGUGAUGUUACAUCCAAUGGCGACACCCCUUUUAAUGAGUGGUGUUUGAACAGGUUCUGAGGCUGGCAUCUGGCUGAUUGUGAUACAAUGGAGAAGUGAAUGGAGUGGUGGUCUGACCAAACAACUGAAUUUACAGUUACUGGGGACACUUCUAGUCCAGACUGGAACACUAGAUCAAGUGUAUGACCUUUUCUGUUGGUGGAAGUGACGACGAUUUUAGUGAAGCCGAGUGCACUCAUCAAGCUGAGGAGAUCCUGCCCAAGCAGGGAUAGGGUGUCAUCAAUCCAAGUGUUGAAGUCUCCCAGUAUAAGCAAUCUUGGGUGCUCAAGGAUUAAGUGUCACGUCCUGUUCUUGCUGCGGAUCAUUUCUGGCUAUAGCUUCUGGUAUCUGGUACUCUUUUUACAAUUCUUGUUUAGUUUUUCUUGUUUUUUUUCUGGCCUUCUAUUCCAUGUCUGGUUUUCUUUAUGCUGGGUUUUAUGGGUUCAUUCCUGUAUUCCGUUCCUGGAAUUCCCAGUCUCUUGGAUUCCUUUAUAUGUUUGUUUUACAUUGCCACACCUGUUCCUUUUCCAUUAAUCCUUUUGUUUCAGUUGGUUCCUGCAGGCAGUUGCUCCAAGUCAUCUGCCCCUUUCUUGCAGGUAAG